GACUGUCUCACCUUCUUCCACGAGCAACGGACUCUCGCUACUACCGCCGUCCGAUCUAGUAUAAAACACACGGAAAGGAAGAUAAAUCUUUGUAAAAACAAUGCAGUCAUAACAGCCCUAGUUAGGAGAUCAUAAGAGUAAAAUGGAGGAUGAAUAUAUAAUCGUGAAUAUACGUAUUGCGUUAAACUC